rnacentral:tRNA from 1 species
GGGCGGGUAGCUCAGUGGUAGAGCACUGGCCUUACAAGCCGGCUGUCGCAGGUUCGACCCCUGUCCCGCCCA